GUGCGCGUGCGCAGUGUGUUUUCUCUGUAAUUCUGGGCCGUGUUCCGGAAGCCUCGUAAGACAAAAGCGAACGAGAGGCGGAAAAAAGGAAGACGCUUCCUGAAGUUGGGGAUGCUGGACUAGUUUUCAUACUAGAUCCCCUCGUGGCAGCAUUAAGGAACUUCACAUUCUUCUCACACUAUUCAUGGAAAGUUCCUGGAACUCCCACAGCAGCAAGAAAACUUCGCUUGUAGGAGUCCUUAGCACAUCUGUAAAGUUUUAUUGGCCAAAAUGUGAUACAUCUCCAUUUCUGGAUCAGUCACUGUGGUCAAGUGCAAGACGCUCUACAGGACUCAACCUGGGGAUGAGGUCUGUCUACUCCAUCCAUAUGGUCACUUUAUACUGAGGUUGGUUUCUUUUAAAGGUUGAGCUGACAGUCACAUCAGGAUUUGAUAAGUCAGAGCAGUGCUGAUGUUAUUACAAGGGUUGCUGCUUUUUAAGAGAUGAAAAGAUCCAAGGUGUGACACAGAAUGGAUGACUGGAGUGGAAAAAAUGAAAAUGUCAUUGGAAUAUGGAAGUAAAGAAACUGAGAAGCUGAGAGUUUUUGCAUCAUCCAGUCAGGUAUGGAAAUCACCAAGGAUAAAGGAAGGAACUGGGUUAGAAUGGAAGACCUUUUGCCAGGAAUGGAAGACUUCAGUAAAUGAAGAGAUUUGACUAGGAUGUUGGCAGAAGAUAGUGAGAAGGUCUAAGAAAGGGUGGUAUAUCCAGAUGACAUAAACAUCAAAAGAACGGUGAUUUUUGCAGGAGGGAAGGGGUGAAAUAAUUUGAAAGUAGCAAUGGGAGAGAGCAAGGAAUGCACCUACCUCCAAUCCUGGCCCUGACAUUCUCUCAGGGACCAGAUAGGUUUCAACUAAGGUAAGGCAAGGAGAUGAUGGGAAAAUGAGGGAAAGGGGACUGGACUGCUGAACACAGAUGAGAGUCACAUGAAACACUAGAAGGGUUUAUUUAGGGAGGGGGAGAAGUGGAGAGAAUAACAGUUUGUGGAUUAUGAUUUUAUGAGAAAAAGAAGGACUUAGAGAGGCUGGAACUUCUGCAGAUUAGUGAGCUACACAGGGAUGUGAAGCAUGAUUGGCUUGAACCUGGUAGUCUCAUCUUGUCAUCCUCUUAGUGGUGUGUGCAGCCUAAGGCAUUAAAUUAUGGUGCAGCCUCUGGGCUAAUAGUUACUCUCUCAACAGUGGAGAGUUCUACAUAAUUUGCCAUAAUUAGAUACAUUACCUUAGAGAAAGUGCUAAACCCUUCAAAAUCCCAGUUGCUUAAUCUAUG
rnacentral:lncRNA from 10 species